rnacentral:rRNA from 1 species
GCGGCGGACGGGUGAGUAAUGCCUAGGAAUCUGCCUGGUAGUGGGGGACAACGUUUCGAAAGGAACGCUAAUACCGCAUACGUCCUACGGGAGAAAGCAGGGGACCUUCGGGCCUUGCGCUAUCAGAUGAGCCUAGGUCGGAUUAGCUAGUUGGUGAGGUAAUGGCUCACCAAGGCUACGAUCCGUAACUGGUCUGAGAGGAUGAUCAGUCACACUGGAACUGAGACACGGUCCAGACUCCUACGGGAGGCAGCAGUGGGGAAUAUUGGACAAUGGGCGAAAGCCUGAUCCAGCCAUGCCGCGUGUGUGAAGAAGGUCUUCGGAUUGUAAAGCACUUUAAGUUGGGAGGAAGGGUUGUAGAUUAAUACUCUGCAAUUUUGACGUUACCGACAGAAUAAGCACCGGCUAACUCUGUGCCAGCAGCCGCGGUAAUACAGAGGGUGCAAGCGUUAAUCGGAAUUACUGGGCGUAAAGCGCGCGUAGGUGGUUCGUUAAGUUGGAUGU